rnacentral:rRNA from 1 species
CCUACGGGUGGCAGCAGUGAGGAAUAUUGGUCAAUGGUCGGGAGACUGAACCAGCCAAGCCGCGUGAGGGAUGAAGGUACAGAGUAUCGUAAACCUCUUUUGUCAGGGAACAAAGGCGGGGACUUGUCCCCGGAUGAGUGUACCUGAAGAAAAAGCAUCGGCUAACUCCGUGCCAGCAGCCGCGGUAAUACGGAGGAUGCGAGCGUUAUCCGGAUUUAUUGGGUUUAAAGGGUGCGCAGGCGGUCUGUUAAGUCAGCGGUAAAAGCCAGGGGCUCAACCCCGGCCAGCCGUUGAAACUGGCAGUCUCGAGUAGGAGAGAAGUAUGCGGAAUGCGCGGUGUAGCGGUGAAAUGCAUAGAUAUCGCGCAGAACUCCGAUUGCGAAGGCAGCAUGCCGGCUCCACACUGACGCUGAGGCACGAAAGCGUGGGUAUCGAACAGGAUUAGAUACCCUAGUAGUC